AUGGGCGGCAUUCCAACCAGGAUGAGAAUCUUUGGCGCAGAAAUAGGAUCCGGAAUCCUCGUCCCUGAGGCUGUUCAUGGUCAGCGUCACCGAGCUCUGCCCGUUGUCCCUGGAGAUCGUCACCCGGCCCUUGAGCGAUGGCGCGUAGUGGGUGGUGCCAGCAGUGUUGAUCUGUGCAACGAGGCCGUGACCCUGCUGGAGUCCGGGGGGGACCUCCAGCCCCCCGGGGGGUCCCUGCGCCUCCUCUGCCGAGGGUCCGGGUUCAGUUUUGGCAGUUUUGCCAUGGAAUGGGUGCACCAGAGACCCGGGCAGGGGCUGGAGCUCAUUGCGUGGAUCAGGAACGAUGGGGAUUACAUCAAGUAUUCACCGUCAGUCAACGGCCGGGUGACGAUCUCCAGGGACAACGGGCAGAGCUCGGUGACGCUGACCAUGAACAACCUCAAGGACGAGGAUUCUGGAUCCUAUUUCUGUGCCAAGGGACAUUGCAGUGAUUGUGCCAGUGCUGGUGAUAUUGGCCAUUCUGGUGCUUGGGGUCUCGGUCCAUGA